rnacentral:rRNA from 1 species
UACGAAGGGGACUAGCGUUGUUCGGAAUCACUGGGCGUAAAGCGCACGUAGGCGGAUCGCUAAGUCAGGGGUGAAAUCCUGGAGCUCAACUCCAGAACUGCCUUUGAUACUGGCAAUCUCGAGUCCGGGAGAGGUGAGUGGAACUGCGAGUGUAGAGGUGAAAUUCGUAGAUAUUCGCAAGAACACCAGUGGCGAAGGCGGCUCACUGGCCCGGUACUGACGCUGAGGUGCGAAAGCGUGGGGAGCAACAGG